rnacentral:rRNA from 1 species
UGGGGAAUUUUGGACAAUGGGGGAAACCCUGAUCCAGCCAUCCCGCGUGUGCGAUGAAGGCCUUCGGGUUGUAAAGCACUUUUGGCAGGAAAGAAACGUCAUGGGUUAAUACCCCGUGAAACUGACGGUACCUGCAGAAUAAGCACCGGCUAACUACGUGCCAGCAGCCGCGGUAAUACGUAGGGUGCAAGCGUUAAUCGGAAUUACUGGGCGUAAAGCGUGCGCAGGCGGUUCGGAAAGAAAGAUGUGAAAUCCCAGAGCUCAACUUUGGAACUGCAUUUUUAACUACCGGGCUAGAGUGUGUCAGAGGGAGGUGGAAUUCCGCGUGUAGCAGUGAAAUGCGUAGAUAUGCGGAGGAACACCGAUGGCGAAGGCAGCCUCCUGGGAUAACACUGACGCUCAUGCACGAAAGCGUGGGGCGCAAACAGG